rnacentral:rRNA from 1 species
ACCAGCAGGUAUAUCACCCUGCAGCCCUUGAACCUGAAGCUCAGCAGGUGUGAGCCUGGCCAGUACCUGGAUGGGAGACCUCCUGGGAAAAGGUUGCUGCUGGAA